UGCCAGCCGCCGCGGUAAUACGUAGGUGGCGAGCGUUAAUCGGAAUCACUGGGCGUAAAGCGUACGUAGGUGGCAAGGUCAGUCAGGCGUGAAAGCCCUCGGCUCAACCGAGGAAUUGCGUUUGAUACUGCUUUGCUAGAGUCUCGGAGAGGUUGGCGGAAUUCCAGGUGUAGGAGUGAAAUCCGUAGAUAUCUGGAGGAACACCAGUGGCGAAGGCGGCCAACUGGACGAGUACUGACACUGAGGUACGGAAGCUAGGGUAGCGAACGGGAUUAGAUA
rnacentral:rRNA from 1 species